CUCUUCCUUCUGUUCAUAACGCCGCUUAAACUUGGCAAUCUGCCCAACACUUUGAGCCAUCUGCCGCCUUGCUCUAAAGUGAUAAACUUUACCAACUUGGUGUAUCUUGGUCAUCAUAACAUGCAUCAAUCGGCCACUCUGGGUAACAUAGGAUAUCCAUUGCAUCUGAGGGUGCACUCCUUUCUUCAUUUUCUAAUUACUGGCAAUGCAAGAGAACUUUGUUAAACAGAGCUAUAGGAACUUGCGAGCAGGGCUGGCCCUAAGUUAUUGGGAGCCCUAGGCGAGCUCUUAAUUCACACAAAAAAAGUUUGAUUGUAACAUUAUAAAUGCCCAUAAAAUUUUAUUUACUAGUACCCACACGACAAAAUUUGUUUGAGUCGUACCUGUCACUUUUGACAAUCAGGAUUUAUUCAAUCCAAUGGCUAGAAGCUCAGUUUUGGAAUCUUGAAAAAGACAUUUGUCCUACCUAUCACUUUUGACAAUCUGGAUUUAUUCAAUCCUAUGGCUAGAAAUAUAUUUUGAGUCAACGGCUUGGAUUGCUUGGAUUAGUUCUAUUCUAGAUCCAAAGGUCCAUUUUGUCAAACACUCUUACUAUCUGCCUUCAGAUACAAUUUUGAGUUUCAAAUUUUGAAAUCCAGGUACACGAAUCAUCUUCUUCAUCUCAGAUUCUCUCUUCCUCCCCCUCCCAAUACCCAUCAUCACGCUCACACUUUCUCAAAGUAAAACCCUAAAAUUAGUGAUGAAUACCACAAAAACGUAAUGCGCCAUUUAGUUAAUAGAAAUGAGAUGGAAUGGAAUGGAAUGAUUAUUCCGUAGGCUCUCUUAUAGAAUGAUCAUUCUCUUACAAUGGUGAAUGACGAUUCUAUUUAUAAAUGUAUUUUUCAUUAAUUUUUUAGUCAACCAAACAUGGAAAUAGACAAUUUGAUUGAAUGAUCAUUCCAUUCCACUUCAUUCCAUUGAACCAAACAUUACAUAAGAGGAUGAAGAUGAUGUGACAUUGGCAAAGAGGACCGCCAUUCUGGCAUAUUCUUCAUCCUCAAAAUUGCGUGCAUCAACUCCAGCACAACCUCUCCAAGCAAAAUAUUAUGUUUUGAUCUUAGAUUCUGUUUUGAAUCAUUAAGGCCACUAAAGCCUUAAUAGAGCUUCAUUUUCAACCACCUAAUGGAGCAUGAACUGUAGAAAGGAAUCUCUAUCUCUAUCCUAGAACAAUGAAGGUAUAUUAACUCUGUUUAUAAUUCUUGGUAAA